UACGAAGGGGGGCUAGCGUUGUUCGGAUUUACUGGGCGUAAAGCGCACGUAGGCGGAUUUUUUAAGUCAGGGGGUGAAAUCCCGGGGCUCAACCCCCGGAACUGCCUUUGAUACUGGAAGUCUUGAGUAUGGUAGAGGUGAGUGGAAUUCCGAGUGUAGAGGUGAAAUUCGUAGAUAUUCGGAGGAACACCAGUGGCGAAGGCGGCUCACUGGACCAUUACUGACGCUGAGGUGCGAAAGCGUGGGGAGCAAACAGG
rnacentral:rRNA from 1 species